rnacentral:lncRNA from 10 species
UGGGGUCUCACUAUAUUACCCAGGUUGUUCCCAAACUCCUGGGCUCAGGUGAUCCACCUGCCUCAGCCUCCCAAAGGGAUUACAGGUACACCCUGCCAUGCCUGGCCCAUGUUCCAUAAAUUUUUUGUUGAGAUCUUCUCAUAUUAAUGCAGGUAGAUCUUCUUCAUUCUUUUUUCAAUGGUUGUUUAUUAUUUCCAGAGUAUUCAUAUACCAUAAUUUAGUAACCAUUCUAUUGAUGGCUAUUAGGUUAUAAUUUAGGGGAGGAUGCACUACCACUCAUCAGAUUCUCUCAGAGGUCCCUGACCCCAAGAAGUGAAAGGAACAUGCAGGCACUAAGAACUCUUCCCGUGCACACAGUUCAUGAGCUAGUGCUGAGGUGUAGGGAAUCUGCCACUUGUAGCUGGUCUUUCCCACAUUUGGCUCUAGCCAGAUAGGGGUGGGUUAGGGUCAGUGUGAGCCAACAGUGUAGACAUAACACCCAACUCAGCACAGUCUGGCCCUGCCUGUCCCAGAGCUACUGGUGUCUGGGCUGCCUUGGUGUCUGUACAGAGCUCAGCCUAGGCCUGGCCCACCGGGGCCUCUCCCUGAUGGCUUCACUUCCCUCCCAGGUCUCCAUAGGACGUCUGUGUUUGACCGCCUCGGCGCCGAGACCAAGGCAGACACCACGACAGGGAGUAAACCCACAGGAGUCUUCAGCCGCCUGGGGGCCACCCCAGAAACGGACGAGGAUCUGGCUUGGGACAGCGACAAUGACAGCAGCAGCUCUGUCUUGCAGUAUGCCGGGGUCCUGAAGAAGCUAGGACGGGGCCCAGCCAAGGCCAGUCCCCAGCCAGCACUGACUGUCAAAGCCAAGGCCACAAGCUCAGCGACAACGGCUGCUGCCCCGACACUGCGGCGCCUGGCGCUUUCCUCACGGUCUGGGCUUGAGAGGAAGCCGGAGUCCUUGUCUAAAGUCAGCAUCAUCAAGAGACUGGGCGCAGCUGCCCUUGUGCCCGAGGCCCAGGACAGCCAGGUCACCAGCACCAAGAGUAAGUCCUCAGCCGAGGUCAAGGUCACCAUUAAGAGGACUCUGGUGGGGCCCCGGGGGAGCAGCUCCAGCGAGGGCCUUGGUGCCCAGAUGGACCACGCGGGCACUGUGAGCGUGUUCAAAAGACUGGGCCGCAGGACCUUCUAGCCCACCUGUGGGCGGGGUGCAGGCAGCAGAGCCUGCGGGCAUCUGCCCUGGCCGCCCCAGGCUCCUGGCUUCAUCACGCCUCCCACCAGCUCCUGGAUGACACAGCUUGUCUCCCUCGGGCUCUAGAGCUAGGCCCGAGCAUUCGGGGGAUCACCCCAUUUCUCCUAGCCUGGGAUGGUCGUCGCAGCUGGCCUGGCCUGCUCCAGGACUCCCCUUCUCUCAUGUCCUCUGUGCUUUCUUCUCUGGCUGUGGCCUUGGCAGAACCCACUUUUCUACCUCUCCCAAGUGCCAGGGGGCUUCUUCCUCUCCUACAUUCCCCUUCUUCCCCUGAGCAGGGUCUGCUGCCUCAGACCCCAGCUCAUCAGCCUCCCUGUCCCCCUCAACUAAGUGGGUGUCACCUGGUGGGCCUCCCUUCCCCCACUCCCCACUGACCUCCCUCACUCCUCUGCGCCUCCCCCCACUGCUGUGACUUCUCUCUCUCCCUGUCUUCACUUUGUUCAUUUCUCUUCUGUUUUCUGUCCCCGUGGCAAGGCCCGACUGUCCGCUGCGUCCUGCCCGACCCUCCUGUACCUCCGGCCUCCCAGCGGCCCCCUCGUCGGCGGUGGCGUCGAGCCUGUUGAGACUGUUAGCCGCCCUCUACUCCCAGGCUGGAGGGACCUCUCCAGACCCUGGGCUGCGGCUGAGGCGCAUCCGUUUUCCUGCCCUGGGCAUCUGUCUCUGAAAGUGUAUGGCGGGUGGUGGGCAAGGGGCACUGGGAAGGGAGGCCAGUGCCUAGAGUGAAGACAGCUGCUGUUUUAAUAUAU